GGAUGAACGCUGGCGGCGUGCCUAAUACAUGCAAGUCGAGCGAACGGACGAGAAGCUUGCUUCUCUGAUGUUAGCGGCGGACGGGUGAGUAACACGUGGAUAACCUACCUAUAAGACUGGGAUAACUUCGGGAAACCGGAGCUAAUACCGGAUAAUAUUUUGAACCGCAUGGUUCAAAAGUGAAAGACGGUCUUGCUGUCACUUAUAGAUGGAUCCGCGCUGCAUUAGCUAGUUGGUAAGGUAACGGCUUACCAAGGCAACGAUGCAUAGCCGACCUGAGAGGGUGAUCGGCCACACUGGAACUGAGACACGGUCCAGACUCCUACGGGAGGCAGCAGUAGGGAAUCUUCCGCAAUGGGCGAAAGCCUGACGGAGCAACGCCGCGUGAGUGACGAAGGUCUUCGGAUCGUAAAACUCUGUUAUUAGGGAAGAACAUAUGUGUAAGUAACUGUGCACAUCUUGACGGUACCUAAUCAGAAAGCCACGGCUAACUACGUG
rnacentral:rRNA from 1 species